UUUUAACUUCUUUGAUGUUGAAUAACUGAGACCAUGUUAAUAUUCAUAUUUUACUCUUCUUUGCUAGAAAUAAUGGUCAGAAAACAGUUUUUAUAUAAAAAAAUGAAUGGUCACACAGGAUGACUUUUUUAGGUGGUAAAUUGAAGUUGCAUAAAAAGCGACAAAUCCUGAAUGUGCAUACAAAUUGUAAGUAACACUCAAGGGAACAUAAAAACUGUUUCGAAAUUAAUAUUUUUCCCUUUUAAAAUGUUUUUGAAAACCUUAUUCGUCAUUGACCCAAAUAUUCUGACACUUCUCAUCUCUGCUUCAGCCACGAGCUGCUUUCCCCGAUGAUCCAUCCACAGUAGGUAACCACUCUCUCUUGGAGCGCCGUCAUUCUGUGGAAUCUGAUGGACUUUGUUGUUCACUGGCUCUGGUUUGGUCUGGGUUUCCUUCUAGAGGACCAACUUCUUCCUCUGAUUCAGAAUCACUCUCCUCUUCCUGCUCCACUAGCUCCUAUUCUGUAAAGCCACGGCCAGCUUCUCUGUGAACAGACAAAGCUCUCAUAACCUGAGCUACUGGGUGGGUCCCUGAUGGGCAUAGAGAACUGAUUAUGGCAGAGGAUAGACAUUUAUUCAGUACCUUUUCUCUUGCAUCCUGGCACGAGUGAUGUAGCAUUGCUUCAUCACUCUAAAAAACAAAAUACAAUUAUUCUAAAACACGCAAGUGACGUCAUCAUGACAAUGUAAAAUAUACAAAUACAAUUUCAAAUGCCGUAGUAAAGGGGAGUUACAAGUACAAUUUGAAAUGUUUAGUAAUGUUUUAUAGCCCACCUGUGUUUUGAAACUCACCUCUUCUUGGGUUGUUUUUCCCCCGUCUGCUGAGUGAGCUCUGUACACCAGAUGGUGCUGUUUCCCUGUGUUUCAGUUACGUCUACAGUUUUCUGAUCACUUUGUGGAUUAGGUACAGCCACAACAGGCUCACCCACAGACUGAACCGUAUUCUAAACUUGACUUACCAAUGCCAAAUCAUUCCUAUAAAGUUAUGUACAGGCAACUGUUGUUUUUUUGUCUUUCAAUGUAUCCUGUCCUGUUCCUUUUCUUGUAAAAAAAAAACAAUGCAUCGACUUUAGAAAAAGAGAAUUAGUGUGUUAAAAUAACAUGAAAUGUGUUAUAUGCACUGAGUAUAGAAAACAUUAGGAACACCUUCCUAAUAUUGAGUUGCGCACCGCUAUAAGGCGUCAAAACCAUUCCACAGGGAUGCUGGCCCAUGUUGACUCCAAUGCUUCCCACAGUUGUGUUAAGUUGGCUUGAAGUCCAUUGAGUAGUGGACCAUUCUUGAUAAACAUGGGAAACUGUUGAGCGUGAAAAACCCAGCAGUGUUGCAGUUCUUGACACAAACCGGUGUGCCUGGCACCUACUACCAUACCCUGUUCAAAGGCACUUAAAUCUUUUGUCUUGCCCAUUCACCCCCCUGAAUGGCACACAUGCACAGCAAACCACCCUGCAGCACACCACCCUGCAGCACACCACCCUGCAGCACACCACCCUGCAGCACACCACCCUGCAGCACACCACCCUGCAGCAUACUGCUGGCUUGCCAGAUGCUGCUGGAAGUGGUGUUAGAGGGCCAGUAGGAGGCACUGUUUCCUUUGGUCAAAAAAACAAACAACAAAUAUCCCAAUGCCCUAGGGCAGUGAUUAGGAACAUUGUCCUGAGUAGGAUGUCGUCUUUCAGAUGGGACGUUAAAUGGGUGUCCUGACUCUCUGUGGUCACUAAAGAUCCCAUGGCAUUUAUUGUAAGAGUAGGGGCGUUAACCCUGGUAUCCUGGCUAAAUUCCCAAUCUGGCCUUCAUUCCAAUUGGCUCAUUUAUCUCCUCUGUAACUAUACUCCAGGUCAUUGCUGUAAAUGAGAAUGUGUUCUCAGUCAACUUACCUGGUAAAAUAAGGGUUAAAUUAAAAUGUCUCAAAGCUUAAAAAUCAUGUUUUAACCUCCGCUUCAUAUACAUUGAUUGAAGUGGAUUUAACAAGUGACAUCAAUGAGGGAUCAUUGCAUUGAACUGGUCAGUCUGUCAUGGACAGAGCAUGUGUUCUUAAUGUUUUGUGUACUCAAUGUAUCUAGAGUUAGAAAAAUGUAUUGACGUGUCACUCCACUAUGAUACUAUAAUACAGAUUUUCUUUUUUAAACCACAUUGUGGACCACUCAAAUUGAGUUUUGAAACACUAAAAACAAUCAUAGGCAAACAUGGUACAGGCGUAAUAUAUAUUCUAUACACAUUUAUGCAUAAAGUACAGCGGAUAAAAGGACAAUUGGGCCCUUAUAAAAAUGAAGUAUCCGUUGGAGGAUAAGGUGGCAGGCUUUGGCACAGGCAUUUACAUUAUUGUUACCUGAUAAAAUGUCACAUAAUGGGUUAUUUUCAUCAAGACUGUUAAAAUUUUGAUUUUGGCAGGACAGCUGACCAAAAGAUCCUCCUUAAGUUCAUUGUAUAACCCACUGUAAAGCAAGCAAGCAAUAAAGCCUACCUGGUCUGACAGUGCCUCCUCUGGCCAUGCCACAUAUUGCACAGCAAUGAUCUGACCUUGGAUUGCCAGCUGCUUGUGUGGACAAUAAUGCAGACCAUCCAUCUCCCUCUUUAGGUAAUUUGCAGCAACCAGAAGAACUUGAGC
rnacentral:lncRNA from 1 species